GAUGAACGCUGGCGGCGUGCCUAACACAUGCAAGUCGAGCGAUUCACUUCGGUGAAGAGCGGCGGACGGGUGAGUAACGCGUGGGUAACCUGCCUCAUACACAUGGAUAACAUACCGAAAGGUAUGCUAAUACAAGAUGAUAUAAGAGAUUCGCAUGGAUUUCUUAUCAAAGCUCCGGCGGUAUGAGAUGGACCCGCGUCUGAUUAGCUAGUUGGUAAGGUAACGGCUUACCAAGGCGACGAUCAGUAGCCGACAUGAGAGGGUGAUCGGCCACAUUGGAACUGAGACACGGUCCAAACUCCUACGGGAGGCAGCAGUGGGGAAUAUUGCACAAUGGGCGAAAGCCUGAUGCAGCAACGCCGCGUGAGCGAUGAAGGCCUUCGGGUCGUAAAGCUCUGUCCUCAAGGAAGAUAAUGACGGUACUUGAGGAGGAAGCCCCGGCUAACUACGUGCCAGCCGCCGCCUGUAAUAC
rnacentral:rRNA from 1 species